rnacentral:tRNA from 1 species
GCUAACGUAGCUUAACACAAAGCAUGGCAUUGAAGAUGCCAAAAUGAGCUUUAAAUAACUCCGUAUGCA